rnacentral:rRNA from 1 species
AUGAACGCUAAAAAUGUACCUAACACAUUGCUAGUUAAACAAUAACAAAUUGUAGCAAACAGGUGCGUAAAAACUCAGUACUAACGUUAAAAACAACAUAAUUCGUUGGUAAAAAAUAACUUAAGAGAUUUUUAACUUAGGCUGACUUUUAAUUAGAUUGUUGGUAGAAUAAUAGAAUACACAAGUCUACGAUUAAUAGCUGGUCUAAACGGAUUUACAGCCACAUCAGAACUGAGAUAAGGUCUGAGCUCCUUCGGGGGGCAGCAGUGCGGAAUCUUGAACAAUAAGCGAUAAGCUUGAUUCAGUGACAUUUAUGGGUGAAUAGAAGGCUGAUGUCGUAAAACCCUAUCAAGAAAAAAAAAUAAUGCUUUUUAUUCUAAUAAGAAGUCCUAGCUAAACUCUGU